UGCAACUUCACUGGCAUUGUUGGAAUCCUUCCACCUAGUUGAUUUUGUCCAAGUUGGAGUUCCAACAGAGAAUCCAUGCUGUUGAUACCGUCAGGUAUCGAACCAUUAAGAUUGUUGCCUUGUAAGUUCAACUGAGCAAGGCUUUGCAAGCUUGAAAUUGAAGGAGGUAUUAAACCAGUAAGAGAAUUCCAGCUGAUAUUGAGAGUUGACAGCUUGUGUAAUUGAGAGAUUUGUGGAGGGAUUUCUCCAUACAGCCUGUUGAGUUGAAGUUUCAAAACUUGAAGACUACUAAUAUUACCCAAUUCCAUUGGCAAUUGACCUGUAAGAGUAUUCUGAGCCAAAUUCAACAGCGCCAAAUUCUGGCAAUAACCCAACUGAGCAGGCACGACACCCGUCAAUCUAUUGUUAUCCAGCUCCAAGUACAUCAACUUAUGGCCUGGCGUGAACGAAGAAGGGACCGAGCCAUUGAGAAAGUUGCCUCCCAAUCUCAGUCUGAUCAGGCUUUGUGAUAUAUUAUCAGGAAUUGAACCAUUCAACAGAUUAUAAGACAAAUCCACAGUUCGCAAAUUCGACUGCGAUAAAAGGUCUGAUGGAAUAGACCCAGUUAAAUUAUUAUAACUAACAUCUAAAAAGCUAAGAUGU
rnacentral:misc_RNA from 1 species